GAGUAAAACAGACAAUGCAUACUCUGUAUCCCUGACGAAAAAGUAAAUUGCUUUGAAACGUUGGAAUAACACUGCCAGUGUAAUGCGGACUUUAUUUAGCCCUUGAGUGCAACUGUUGUGGAGUCUAUAUUGGAUUGCGGAGGCGGUCUUAUGUGUGCAUCGGGGCAAGGACAGACAGUAUUGGAGUGCCGCCAUCAAAGCUUUUUUGUCUAUCCUACUAAACACCACAAAAGUCUUUGUCAAGCAGCAAUCAUCUGACAAAGAGAUUUGCAGAGAGUCGGGUGACCGGCAAAGAGAUCUGCAAAGUGUCAGUUGAAGACGACGGGAGGGGUCACAGAGGUAGCAACGACUGGAGUAUAACAUGCAGGAGAUCAUCAUUUGGCAAAGUUCUGGCACAGAGAUUUGCAGAGUGUCGGGUGACCGGCACAAAAGAUCUGCAAAGUGUCAGUUGAAGAUGACGGGAGUGGUCGCAGAGGAAUUAGUGAUUGGAGAAUAGCAUGCAGGAGUGGGUGAUCCCUGAAUAGCUGCCCUGGGAGGAGAGCUGCGGACACAUGCUCCAAAUGUUGGGACAUAUGCAUUACCUAUUAGGAGAUGCGGUAAAGAUGCCGGCUGUCGGGUUUACGGCAGUCAGAAUACUGACACUGGGAUCCCGACACUCUUCAGAAUCCCGACGUUGGAACUCCGAAUGGGCAAGGAUACCGAUGCCCGUAUCCCCACGAUCAUAGGUUUAGGGCUGGGCAAGGGGAAUUAGGUUUAGGCAUCAGGGACUGGGAAGGAGGA